ACCCGCUGAAUUUAAGCAUAUAAGUAAGUGGUGGAAAUUAAACCAAAUGGGAUAUCUUUAGUAAUUGCGAAUGAACAAGGAUAUGCUUAGCUUGACAAAUGGAGCUAUUGGCUUUGAAUUGUAUUUGUGGAAUGUAUUACCAACAGAGGUGCAGGUGCCAGCCUAUUGAAAUAAAGCGUCAAUGAGGGUGAGAAUCCUGUUUGUCAUGUGCAGCCCUUUGUGCACGGUGUAUAUUUGCUGAGUCACACUCCUUGGCAUUGGAAUGCAAAGUGGGUGGUAAGUUUCAUGUACAGGUAAACAUGCAAUUGAGACUGAUAGCACACAAGUACCAUGAGGGAAAUAUGAAAAGGACUUUGAAAAGAGAAUUAAAUGAGUUUGUAUUUGCUGAACACAAAGUAAACAGACUUGAUUUGCUUGGUGGGAGUGUUGCACUUGCUUGACAAGAGCUUUGGGCUGUGGGUGUAAUGAUUAUUUCUUUGCAUGCCAGUUUCUAUGUGUACAUCUGAUUACCUUUGCACAUGAAUGAUAAGUCUCCUGUGGGGGGUGGAUUGCAUGUGCAUGUAAUGAUUUGUGUUUUGAUAAAUGUGUCUGGUGUAUGUGUGUGUGCUCCUGUGCUUGGGGAUGCUUCCUUCCUUGGACUUACAAGCCCUGACACACACAUGCUGGCAAAAUGCUUCUGCUUGACCCGUCUUGAAACACGGACCAAGG
rnacentral:rRNA from 1 species